rnacentral:rRNA from 1 species
UAUAGAAAAUCUCUUCAAGACCAUGUCACCCAUGUUCAAACCGUUUUGCAAACUCUUCGAAACGAGCAUCUCUUUGCUAACAUGCAAAAGUGCCUUUUCGGCGUUGAUAAGCUUGUUUUCUUGGGUUUUGUUGUUUCCUCUAAGGGUGUUCAUGUUAAUGACUCAAAGAUCAAUGCCAUAAAAACUUGUCCCCAACCAACCAAUUUGCAACAAGUGCGUAGCUUCCUUGGUCUAGCCGGUUUCUACCAUAGAUUUGUGAAGGACUUUAGCACCAUUGCUUCACCUUUGCACGCUUUGAGCAAGAAAAAUGCGCCUUUUGUUUGGGGACCAUCCCAA